rnacentral:rRNA from 1 species
GAUGAACGCUGGCGGCGUGCUUAACACAUGCAAGUCGAACGAUUGAAGCUGGAGCUUGCUCCGGCCGAUUUAGUGGCGGACGGGUGAGUAACGCGUGGGUAACCUGCCUCAUACAGGGGGAUAGCAGUUGGAAACGACUGGUAAAACCGCAUAAGCGCACGGUAUCGCAUGAUACAGUGUGAAAACACUCCGGUGGUAUGAGAUGGACUCGCGUCUGAUUAGCUAGUUGGUGAGGUAACGGCCCACCAAGGCGACGAUCAGUAGCCGGCCUGAGAGGGUGAACGGCCACAUUGGGACUGAGACACGGCCCAAACUCCUACGGGAGGCAGCAGUGGGGAAUAUUGCACAAUGGGGGAAACCCUGAUGCAGCGACGCCGCGUGAGUGAUGAAGUAUUUCGGUAUGUAAAGCUCUAUCAGCAGGGAAGAUAAUGACGGUACCUGACUAAGAAGC